UACGGGGGGAGCAAGUGUUGUUCGGAUUUACUGGGCGUAAAGGGCGCGGUAGGCGGUCAGCACAAGUCAGUUGUGAAAUCUCCGGGCUUAACUCGGAAAGGUCAACUGAUACUGUGCGACUAGAGUGCAGAAGGGGCAACUGGGAAUUCUCGGUGUAGCGGUGAAAUGCGUAGAUAUCGAGAGGAACACCUGCGGCGAAGGCGGGUUGCUGGGCCGACACUGACGCUGAUGCGCGAAAGCCAGGGGAGCGAACGGG
rnacentral:rRNA from 1 species